CCUCUUUAUGUUUUUGAUUAAUAUAAAUAUAAUGGUGUAGUUAUUGCAAGACUGAGUCAAAGAAGAGAAACCUCACUCAUCCUUUGUUUUGUUCCAAGCGGUUUAAUAUUUAUUUAAGUCUGAAUUUUGUGAUGUAAGUUUAUAGGCCUGAAGUUUAUCUUUGCAUUUGCUGGCGUACGAUUGCACCGAUGAUGCUAGAAAGACCACCAUUUUUGUACUGACCUUAUCUGCUUGUGCUUAGUUUUUGUAGAAUUAGUACUGGAGUCUAAACCCUGAGUCAGGUUUCAAAACCCCAGCCCAAAGGUCGAUUAAGGCUUUAUAUGAGGAUGAAAUAACCCCAAAAUAUGGUGACGAUCCAACACUCUGAUUGUAAACUGUGGAUAGAUCUCAGAAAUAGCAAGUAUGAGUCCCAAAAUUCUGGGAACUAUGAGAACGGCAGAUCAGUGGUUUGGAUGUAGACCAAACCUUGGUCGAACCACCCUGCUGGACUGGUGAAUAUCUCCUCCAAAUUUCAGACCAAUCUAAGGGUUAGAAUUCCCUUGAAUGAAGGAAUCAACUUCCCAGCCAAAACACCCAAAAACAGGGGUGCCGCCAGCCACUAUAUACAGCCAAAUUUGAUAUAAAAAAAUUCCGGAAUGUAUCAACAGAUCAGGUAUGUGUUCAGCAGAUAAUAUUGAUUGAAUCUCACAGAAAAUUCUAAGCAGUGGCUAUACUGACCUGGUGUCACAGGGAAGGAGAAAAGGAUUAAGAGAAAGGAAAGAAGAUCAGAUCUCCCACCUGAUCACCCUCAGAAUCCCACUGAGGUUGCUGCUGUCUGCCACAGUAGCUCUGUUUCUCACAGCAGCAUUGAAGCAAUGCUCACAUUCAUUCAUCAUAAAAUUGUGGGGGGAGCUCUUAGGCUCUUACAACUUAUAAGUGGGUUGAGUAACUCAUAAGGAAAUUAAAAAAAUAGCAAAUAAAAGGACUACACGAUAGGAGUGAGUGUAGUGUAGCUAGAUUUCUAAAUACAAGUAUAGAUAAAGUAGAGUUCCAUUCUAAAAGAACUCUAACAUGACCAAGUAAUUAAAAAAAUAAAAA